UCAAGCGAAUAAGAGCUUACGACGGAUACCUUGGUGUUCAGAAGCGAUGAAGGGCGUGGCUACCAACGAAAUGUUUCGGGGAACUGGAAGCAAGUUUUGAUCCGAAAAUUCCCGAAUAAGGAAACUUCAUGAACUACUUCUUGAAUUCAUAAAGAAGAAAGAGCAAACCUAGUGAAUUGAAACAUCUUAGUAACUAGAGGAAAAGAAAGCAAAAGCGAUUCCCUGAGUAGCGGCGAGCGAAAUGGGACCAGUCUAAACUCUAUUUUUUAGAGGGUUGUGGGACAAUGUUAAUAAAGUCAAUAAGUUAGGUGAAGCAGCUGGAAUACUGCACCAAAGAGAGUGAAAGUCUCGUAUUCGAAAACUAUUAUAGCUUUAAAUUGUAUCCCAAGUAGGAAGGGACACGUGAAACCCCUUUUGAAUUUGCGAGGACCACCUCGUAAGACUAAAUAUUCCUGAAUAACCGAUAGUGAACCAGUACCGUGAGGGAAAGGCGAAAAGAACCCCGGAGAGGGGAGUGAAAUAGAUCCUGAAACCGUAUGCGUACAAGCAGUCGGAGCAGACUUGUUCUGUGACGGCGUACCUUUUGUAUAAUGGGUCAGCGACUUAUGUUCAGUGGCGAGGUUAACCGUUUAGGGGAGCCGUAGGGAAACCGAGUCUGAAUAGGGCGAUUUAGUCGCUGGGCAUAGACCCGAAACCGGGCGAUCUAUCCAUGAGCAGGUUGAAGGUUGAGUAACAUCAACUGGAGGACCGAACCCACUGUCUUUGAAAAGCCAGGGGAUGACUUGUGGAUCGGAGUGAAAGGCUAAUCAAGCCCGGAGAUAGCUGGUUCUCCCCGAAAGCUAUUUAGGUAGCGCCUCGGACGAAUACCACAGGGGGUAGAGCACUGUUUCGGCUAGGGGGUCAUCCCGACUUACCAACCCGAUGCAAACUCCGAAUACCUGUGAGUACUAUCCGGGAGACACACGGUGGGUGCUAACGUCCAUCGUGAAGAGGGAAACAACCCAGACCGCCAGCUAAGGUCCCCAAGUACCAGUUAAGUGGGAAACGAUGUGGGAAGGCUUAGACAGCUAGGAGGUUGGCUUAGAAGCAGCCAUCCUUUAAAGAAAGCGUAAUAGCUCACUAGUCGAGUCGGCCUGCGCGGAAGAUGUAACGGGGCUCAAACUGGUCACCGAAGCUGCGGCUGCAUACUUUGUAUGCGGGGUAGGGGAGCGUUCUGU
rnacentral:rRNA from 12 species